GAUGAAGAACGUAGCGAAAUGCGAUAAGUAAUGUGAAUUGCAGAUUUCAGUGAAUCAUCGAAUCUUUGAACGCACCUUGCGCCUUGUGGUAUUCCACAAGGCAUGCCCGUUUGAGUAUCAUUAAAUCAUCAACUCUAAAACCUUUGUGGUUUUUUUAGAGCUUGGUCUUGAGGGUUUUGCAGGCUUUUUUUUUUUCGAGUCUGCUCCCUUUAAAUGCAUUAGCGAGACUUCCCUAUGCUGAACCGUCUCUUUGACGUGAUAAUUAUCUGCGUCGAAUUUUGGUUCUCGUUGGGCUUGCUUCUAAUCGUCUGUUAAAGACAAAACGGAUUUGGGUGCAUAUAUGCGCCUUUUUCCAAAACCUUUUUUGAUCUCAAAUCGGGUAGGACUACCCGCUGAACUUAAGCAUAUCAAUAGCGGAGGA
rnacentral:misc_RNA from 1 species